CACGUAGGCACCAAGCGUUGUCCGGAUUUAUUGGGCGUAAAGAGCUCGUAGGCGGUUCAGUAAGUCGGGUGUGAAAACUCUGGGCUUAACCCAGAGCCGCCACCCGAUACUGCUGUGACUUGAGUCCGGUAGGGGAGUGGGGAAUUCCUAGUGUAGCGGUGAAAUGCGCAGAUAUUAGGAGGAACACCGGUGGCGAAGGCGCCACUCUGGGCCGGUACUGACGCUGAGGAGCGAAAGCGUGGGUAGCAAACAGG
rnacentral:rRNA from 1 species